GGGGGUUCAUACAGGAGCUACCUCAUGUUGGAAAUGAACACAGGCGCAGAGGAAGAGCUGGGACAGAAGUCUGAGGCGGCUGCAGAGGAGAGUGUUAAUGAGGGGACGGCACAAGUAGAAAAGGGUCCACCGGGCUCUUUUUUAGGAGGUGGCCCCUCUCGCAUUAUAUUCUUGACUUCCCUCCAGGAGGGUCUAAUGAUGCUCUCUGAGGAUGGCGGUCUUGUGGAGGAGGAGGGGGAGGGCUGACAUACCAGGAAGAAGCGCCCCUAACGCCACGGAGGAGGUAGCCAAGAAAAGGGCGAGAGAAUGGUGUCCCCACUAGAGAGACAACUCUGUCCUCCGGAGCAGGUCGGUAAUUGUCACACACAACAGCGCUAUUUUCCAUUAACGUAAGUAUGUGCAAUGAGCUAAUAUCCAACCGAGCAAAAUGUGGGUUCAGUUGUGACUUCAAGCUGAACUCGGGAGGCCCUUAUGUUGCAAUGUAGAGUGCAGCGCGUGUAAAAAAAUCUUCAGAGACAUUUUUUUUCCAGCCGCCUCUAAGACAAACUCAUAAUUCACCCCCAUCUACCCCCAACCCCUUCUAUUUCCCAAGAAUGUCAGAGUAUCCAUAAACAAAAUCAGAGGGUACAGUAAGGUCUCUAAUCAAGGCAAUCAGUGCUGUUUUCAGAGGUGUACAGCACAGCAGCAGCGCUGGUCUCAUCUUUGUCUGUGCUUUAAUUACUUGCUUUUGCAUUUUGAUGGAGGGGGGUGAUGGGGGUGAUUGUGCCUUAUCACCUAUCUCCAAGGAUAAAAGGCUACCCAAUUACUUUGUUUGGAUGCUAAUGAUUGCAUUUCAUUAGUAGCCGCUCUUGGCCCUCCUCACCCAGUAAAUGGAUGAAUAUGCCGUAAUUUCAAUUAUUGGAAUUAUUGAAAAUUGCUUUUAAAAAGACGGCACGGGUAUCAUCAGCUUUCCACUGUGACAUAAUGCCAUUUUAAUUUCUAUAAUAGUUUUAAUUGUCAGUGGCCCCGCUGUGCAUUAAUCAUUUAAUUGUAUUGUCUUUUUCUGCUGCAAACACCUACACCCCCUCAACACCCAGACACUUUCCCGCCCCAGCUUUGAAAAUACAAAUUCCAAUCAGCACUUUCAUCUUGAGGGUGAUGAGAGAUGAUGAAAACAAAACCAAGUUCUAAGAUGGUGGUGAAUAGUUUUUCUUUCUUAGAGGUUAUUUGCAGAGGAAAUACGCAGUAUUUGGACAGCGUGUGACCUCUCAUCUAUCUAACACUCAGAUAGAUGAAUACAUGUUAAAAAAGAAGUUAAAGCUCAAUAAAGCUGUUGAAAAAAAUAAGUUUUUUUUGCAGAAAAUAUUAUAUUUUGUUGUAUUUGAAAGGCAAUGCACUGGCUGUUUUUAGGUAAUUUUGCUGUGAUAGUUUAUUUAAAAUACUCAAACACAGAAAGGUCAAAGGUCGAAGGAAUCACACAGACUGUCAAGAACAGACCCAUCGUAUCCAUAGUAAUCUACAAUGAUCCAAAACUUUAACAGUUACACUAACAUUCCAAUCUAAGAAGAAUACGGCUCAUUGCUGAUAUAUGAUUGCAAAGAUACAUUUAUUUUAUUUUUAUUUCGCCCGACAAUUGAAGAAACUUGAAAAAGAACAAUAAAGAAACAUCACAUUUCCCCAAAAAUACAGUUCUACUUUAAAGCACUUUUCAGACUAUUAGUACAUACUGGUCCAUGUUGUAUCCCUCACAUGUAUUUGUGUACAGAUGUUUUGUACUCACAUUUCACGGUUCUUUGAAGCAACCGCACGCCGUUUGCUGUGAGGCAAAAAUCAAAAGUCAAAACUACAGACUAUGUUCAUGUUUAAACACAUAAGGCCAGAAGUGCAGAACUCCACUGAAGCAGAGAUGUAAAAUCAAAUACUCGACAUGUGAAUUUCUUCCCUGUUUCACACGGGUGGAGCUGUGAGCCGCACGAGAGGAGAAGGUCUGACAGACAGCCUUGAGAAGCCCUCCACCGUCUCCUCCAUUGCUCCUCGAGAGGGAGGAGGUCAAGUGUGCCCCCUCAAACAAACACACUCGGAUGCCCAUGCAGAAUACCUUGCCAAGCCUUUUAGCCACAUCUCUUCUUCUUAAACUCACGUCAUCGAGAGAACCCGAGGCGUUGCGCAGGCUUGAACCUCUGGGGCGAUGAAGUGGGCCUACGAGCGGGCAGGAAAACACGUCAGUGUCAGGAGGAUCCAUAAAAUGCGUCCCCCCCCUAUGAAUACAUUUUAUGCCCCAACCUCCACUUUUUUCCUUUCUGCUGUGAGGAAAAUCCUUUGCGGAGGACACCACCGUCGUCUCUGUGUCACCAAAUAGGUUGCAAAACAGUUACAUGGAAAACGGGCGCUUCGGAGCUUUCUGCGAUCAGCUUCUCUGAAAGACUUUCUCACAGCUACCAGGGCGGUUUGUAGCACGGAGGAGCGCUGAAGCCAGAAAGCACAGAGCAGGGGCCCGGAUGCACCGACAUGUGGAGGAUAUACUCAGUGGCCACUUUGUUAGGUACAUCUGUACAUAGUACCACGGCCCUGCCAUGACACGCAUAACGUUGUUGUAUUUGGCUAAUUUAAUUGAUAUGGUUGUUGGAGAGGUUUGAAGUGGGUGUUGUACUGGACUACGUUAUACUGAUUUCUAAAAGGAGUAGAAUAUUAAAAACGCCUCCGAGUCCAGUACAACAACAUCACUAAGUAUGACCUCGAUGCUCAAACGUGUAAUUUAUUUAACACUUUACACAUUACAACACUGCCAACAUCAAUCAAAUAUAUAUUUUAUAAAUAUACUUGUUUGGCCUCCAGGUACACGUCUAUUCAAGUACUAACGCAAUGAUGCAAAACAAACUUGCUCAGAACUUGGUACCUGAACUCUUUGUGCGCUACUGCGCACGGAGGGACGCACAACGUAGCUGGAUGGGAUAACUGUGAUCUAUUCAAUUCUAAUCUAUGUUUUUAUAUAGGUUUACCUAAUAUGUAAAUGAGGUAUUUUAUGAGAUAAAGAUUUUUAAUCUAGCUAUUUUUUUGUUUCAAUGCAGAAUUUUUACUUCUACUCAAAAUACAGGUUCUCCCAAUAAUGUGGGUCUAUGAGCAGGGAACGCUGCUCUUAAGUGUGUUUCCACGGAACGGGCAAUGUAGACUAAAUCUUCUAUCCCCAUAUGUGAAACGCUGUGUUUUUUAUUCUUCAUAAUAACAAAUAAUUGAUUAAAUUACCAGGAACACCAACACAAUAAAUAUAUACAAUAUUUCCAGCUGUGCGCCGACUAUAUUGACGUGCAUGAACACAUGCAGGGGUCCGGUUGAGACAAUGGGUUUAACUACACAGCGGUAUUCCUAUGAGCAGAAUUCAAGACAUCUCUUUAUGAUUCCAUCACAACACGAUACAAAUGAAAGACAACAAAAUAUCAUAUUAAUUGUAGCCCGGCGAUCUCAAGGUGAAAGUCCCAGGAUCUUUGUCCCACACAUGCGUCCACCAGGCGCUGUCUUUCAAAAGUGCCAAGAAGGACAGACAGAAAGAAAGAAAAAAGUGUGUGAAAGAGGUGGAAUGUGGUGUGAAAAUAGAAAAAAAGAGUCUGAGCCAAAGAGAGGAAAGUACACUUGAUUGAGGAGCGGAUUUACAAAAGACUUGACCCUGGCCAGUUUGAAUUAUGUGACUUUGCGGAAGGGUCACAUACAGUACUCUUCAUCUGAGGUUUUCUUUUCAGCUUUUGGGUGAAAAGAAAGAGGGUCAAGAGGUCUCUCAACAUACUGUGAACAAAGAUGUAGAUUCUGUUAGUGUGACUGUCCAAAGGGACAAGACCUCGCUGACAGACAUUUUCUAUUGUGCCAAUGCCAGCUGGUUGAAUGGCUGACUUGGGAUCAGCUCCUACACAAUUGUGCCACCUUCUGGAAUAAAUGGGAGAAUCCAUCAAGGCCUUUGAGCAAAGGGGAGGUAAAGAGAAUCUGCAGUUCUUUGGCACAGAUGAGUAUGUUUGGGUCUGGGCAGGUUUGCUUCAUGAGAAUAAGCUUCGACAUAUGAAAUGCACAGUGAAUUCAUUUUUACUUACCAAUCAUUUGUCCUGGAUCUUUGUUAGAAGAACCGUUCUACUUGCCUGGAUCCUUACCUUUAUUAUGGUAAUAAUAACAUUAAAAGUGGCAGGAUUUAAUGAUGAUUGAUGAUAACUGUGACAACAAAAUGAAAUAUGUAUAUAUACAUAUAUAUUCAGGGCCAAGCCUGUAAAUAUUGAUGAAGUGUAUAUGAAAAUAUUUGAUUAUACUGUGAUGAUAAAUACUCCUGACACUGACAUUUUGUGUGUAGAUAAUUAUUUGCAAAAAUUAACAGUAAAGAAAGAAAUGUUAUCAUCAACGAUGAUAAGACGCUUAAAAUCGGAUACAUACAGACAAUCCUUCUACCAAUUAAUUAAACCCAGUUUAGUAUUUCAGUCAGUAAACACCACAGCAAUUCAACAUUUUCUUUUUUGUAAAUUGGACAAUGAUGGGGAAUUCAUUUUUACCUGUCUGAAUCAGUUAUUUAAAGACGCUUCCUUUUACUCACGCAAAAUAAAUUUUAAAGAACCCUUUUAGGAAAUGAUUUGGAUAUUAUUGACCCGCAAAAG
ensembl:lncRNA